ACUUAUCUGGCUAAUUUUAUAGAUUAUAUUUUGAUUAGACCACUUAGUGAUUUGAGUUAAUCCAUGCCAUUAAGGUUGAUCAGUGUGACUGAUCUUGGUGCUAUUUUCAAUCGGCAUAUCACUAAUCCAAUUCAAUGACUUGGUGAAGUUAAUGGAAGGAUUGUGGUUUACUGGUUGAUCUCUUCUCUUAUCUAAAUUCAUAAA
rnacentral:lncRNA from 1 species